GCCUGAUGCAGCGACGCCGCGUGAGGGAUGACGGCCUUCGGGUUGUAAACCUCUUUCAGCUCCGACGAAGCGAAAGUGACGGUAGGAGCAGAAGAAGCACCGGCCAACUACGUGCCAGCAGCCGCGGCAAUACGUAGGGUGCAAGCGUUGUCCGGAAUUAUUGGGCGUAAAGAGCUCGUAGGCGGCUUGUCGCGUCGGCUGUGAAAACCUGGGGCUCAACUCCGGGCUUGCAGCCGAUACGGGCUGGCUAGAAUUCGGUAGGGGAGACUGGAAUUCCUGGUGUAGCGGUGAAAUGCGCAGAUAUCGGGAGGAACACCGGUGGCGAAGGCGGGUCUCUGGGCCGAUAUUGACGCUGAGGAGCGAAAGCGUGGGGAGCGAACAGGAUUAGAUACCCCGGUAGUCCACGCCGUAAACGUUGGGCGCUAGGUGUGGGCUUCAUUCCACGGAGUCUGUACCGCAGCUAACGCAUUA
rnacentral:rRNA from 1 species